rnacentral:rRNA from 1 species
GAAGAGAAGAGAAAAUGAGGGUACACGGCGCUUGCUAAAGACCAAGAUAGAAGAACCGUUGGCCACGAGCUGAGAUUGACCCAAAGCAAUGAGCACAACAACUACUGCCCAAGAAGCAUCAAAUGGUGGCGGCGACGGCCGGCGGCCGCAUGCGCGCGCACGCCGAGUACUGAUGUUCCCGCUGCCAUUCCAGGGCCACAUCAACCCGAUGCUGCAGCUCGCCGACGUGCUCCACGGCCGCGGCCUGGCCGUCACCAUCCUCCACUACACCGGGUUCCACAACCACAACACGCUCCGCCCCGCUGACGGUGUCCCCGCUGACGUCCUCGCGUCAGGGAACGUCAUCGCUAUGAUCGUCGCCAUGAACACAGCCAUGGAGGCGUCCGUGGCCUUCCGCGACGUCCUCGCGGCGGAGUCGAUGCUCGCCGGCGAGGGGAAGCCCCGCGCCGCGUGCCUGGUCAUCGACUCCAACCUCUUCGGCGCGCAGAAGGCGGCCGAGGAGCUCGGGCUGCCGACGAUAGCGCUCCGGCCCGGCAGCGCAGCCUGCUUCAACUGCUUCCUUGCCUAUCCCAUGCUCCACCAAAACGGCUAUCUGCCCCCCAAAGAAUCGCAACUCGACAUGCCAGUGAAGGAGCUUCCCCCGCUGCGCGUGAGGGACCUCUUCCUCUCGAGCAGGGCCGACCAUGAGAUGUUAUCCAAAUUUCUAGCCAAAGCAACCCAUGCAGCAAGGAGCUACUCCGCCCUUGUGAUCAACACAUUCGAGGCACGAGAAACAGACGAGCUUCAGAAGAUCCGCGGCGAGAUAGGCAUGUGCACUACAAAAAGGCAUGGCAGGGAGGAGCAGCAGUGUGCUUCCGCACGAGGAUCACACCUGCAUCGAGUGGCUGGACACGCAGAUCACGGGGUCGGUGUUGUACGUGAGCGUUGGGAGCCUGGCGUGCAUGGACUCCGGCGAGCUCUCGGAGGUGGCGUGGGGGUUGGCCAACAGCGGCCAGCCGUUCCUAUGGGUCGUCCGGCAGGACCUCGUGCCGGGAUCGGACGGACCAUGUCUACCGGAAGGGUUCGACGAUAUGAUGAAGGGCAGGGGCAGGGUGACCCCAUGGGCCCCGCAGCAAGAGGUGCUGGCCCACCGUGCGGUGGGCGGGUUGUGGACCCACAACGGGUGGAACUCGACGCUCGAGAGUGUAGCCGAGGGUUGCCCGAUGAUCUGCAGGCCUCAGUUCGCGGACCAGAUGAUGAACGCGACAUACGUGGAUGCGGUGUGGGGCGUAGGCUUUGAGCUCGAAGGUGAGCUGGAGAGGAACAAAAUUGCGGAGGUCAUUCUGAAGCUUUUGAAGGGGAGCAAAGGGGAGGAGGCGAUGAGAAAGAGAGCAGGAGAGCUUAAGAGGAAAGUAGCGUCCUGCUUGGAGAGUGGUGGUCUUCCUUGUUGGCCAUUGAGAAAUUGAUCGACCAGGUUGGUUCCUGAACUGAUGACGCCCUUUUCUCAAAACGAAGGACCUGGCUAGUCGGCGCACAGGCGCCUGUUGACAUCCCCGAGCGCAUCGCUGCAUAUGACAGGUACCUGUCCUUGUGCGGCUAGAAAAGGAAAUUUUGGGGCCAUCCCUGUAGUCCUGUAGCGCACAUGUCCUCCCGCUGAAUCAUAGAUGGUCCCACGCCCCAAGCUAGCUGCCGUGAUUAGCAUACCCCGCCAAACCCCCUCCAGGACUUCCCAAACCUCCUGUUCAGCACCACCCCUUUCUUGUGCUCCUCCUCCCAUCAAAAAGAAGCUAUGUUCCUCCCUCUAUCCAACUCGUCACCUUGGUCCUGAAUUUGCUAGAUAAAUUCUUAGCGGAUGUAGAAUCUCGUGUAGUUUCACAACAAAAAUAGUAGCAUAUAAAUCCCCUUCCACCCCUUCUCCCGGCAAAAACAGAGAAGAUUGAAAUAUACAUGUAGCUUUUUGAGCAACUAUGAUGUGUUUCCGUUAGCAAUAUAAGCCUUGCAUCCCUCCCACACAAGUGUCCCUUCUCCCAACAUCGAGCAUUCUGAUUUAAAGCAACUAUCAUGUAUGCUCAAGGAAAGUUUGUCCAUGCAAAAAUGUAAGAAGAUUGUUCAAUGCAAAAUACGAUCGAACUUGUCCACACAAACUUAGGAAGUGUUCUUGUUUGACAAGAAAAGUACAAAGAAAAUGUUUAUGUCCUAACAUUUAAAAAGAAGCAACUUCCUUCUAGUUUUGCUGGUGCCUAUUAUCCUGAUGAUGUGAUUAGCAGGCAACUCUGUGUAAUUUUCUGAACAACUCUAAUGUUUUCCUCGAUCGACUAGGUAGUAUUCUAUCAGAAAAACACACGGUAAAGGCUGCCCAACCCAGCAGUUUCGCUAGUGCCUGCGAUCCUGAUGAUGUCAUUUGGAGAGCAACUCUGUGGAGUUUUCUAUUGUUUUCAUUGAGCAACUACACACACCCACACACACAGAGACACGCAUAGUCCUUCGCCUCAUAUCUCCAGCUAUGACACCUGAAAAAAGAGAUAAAGAAACACAUGUUCAUUUUUGGAGGAGUUCACAGACAAACUUAAUCCCCUAAAUCAUUCGCCAUGAUGGCUAGCUCCACCCCCAUCACAAUCUAUGACCGUUCGUCAAGCAUUUACGAGCGCACCAAGGAAUCCCACCCGAGAAGAAUAAAUUAUUGACGCGUCUCUAAGACACAAACCUGAUUGAAAAGUAACUAAAACCUUUAGAUAUCGACUAAAAUAUGGUCUUGGUAAUGUUUUUGCUCAUGAUGAUCGGGCAACUGCAUACAUGGUUUUAGGCAACAGUAUAGUUGAUCGUGGGCAACUAUGACACCUGGAAAUGGGAUAAAGAACAUACGCAUGCUCGUUUUUGAGAGGUUCACAAAAAAACUUAAUCCCCUAAAAACAAUUUGUGGUUUUAGUUAUGUCCCCAUGUCUAGCUCCACCCCCUCCCCCUCUACGAGCAUUUGCCAAGUAUUUACGAUCGCACGAAGGAUCCCACCUCGAGGGAAAGAAAUUCUUGGCACAACUCUAUGACACAAACCUAAUUGAAAGGUAUCUAAAACCUUUAGAUAUUUGCCAAAAUAUGGUCUUGGUAAUGUUUCUGCUCACGAGGAUUGGGCAGCUAGAUACAUGCUUUUAGGCAACUAUAUGUUUGAUUGUGGGCAACUAUAUGUUUGAUUGUGGGCAACUAUGAUUUGUGAAAAAAAUGGAUAAAGAACAUAGAAAUGUUCGUUUUUGGAGGGGUUCACAGAAAAACUUAAUCCCCUAAAAACACUUCCUGAUUUUACUUAUGUCUCCAUGACGAGCUCCAACCCUCACCCCUGUAUGACCAUUCACCAAGUAUUUAUGAUUGCACCAAGGGAUCAUACCACGAGGAGAAUAAAUUCUUGACGCACCUCUAUGAAAACAAACCUUUAGAUAUUGGUCGAAAUAUGGCCUUGGUAAUGUUUCUACUCAUGAGGAUUGGGCAACUGGAUCCAUGGUUUUAGGAAAUUGUAUGGUUGAUUGUGGGCAACUAUGACACCUGGAAAAAGGGUUAAAGAACAUACACAAGUUUUUUUGGAGGGGUCCACCAAAAAAAUUAAUCCCCUAGAAACACAUUGUGAUUUUAGUUAUGUCCCCUGAUACGUCUCCAACGUAUCUAUAAUUUUUUAUUGUUCCAUGCUAUUAUAUUAUCUGUUUUGGAUGUAUAUGGGCUUUAUUAUACACUUUUAUGUUAUUUUUGGGACUAACCUAUUAACCUGAGGCCCAGCCCAAAUUGUUGUUUUCUUGCCUAUUUUAAUGUUUCGAAGAAAAGGAAUAUCAAACGGAGUCCAAACGGAAUGAAACCUUCGGGAGAGUUAUUUUUGGAAUGGAAGCAAUCCAGGAGACUUGGAGUAGACGUCAGGGAAGCUUCGAGGUGGCCACGAGGCAGGGAGGCGCGCCCCCCACCCUCGUGGGCCCCUCGUGGCUCCCCUGACCGACUUCUUUCGCCUAUAUAUGUCCAUAUACCCUAAAAACAUCGAGGAACAGAAUAGAUCGGGAGUUCCGCCGCCGCAAGCCUCUGUAGCCACCAAAAACCAAUCGGGACCCUGUUCCGGCACCCUGCCGGAGUGGGGAUCCCUCACCGGUGGCCAUCUUCAUCAUCCCGGCGCUCUCCAUGACGAGAAGGGAGUAGUUCACCCUCAGGGCUGAGGGUAUUACCAGUAGCUAUGUGUUUGAUCUCUCUCUCUCGCGCGUUCUUGAUUCGGCACGAUCUUGAUGUAUCGCGAGCUUUGCUGUUAUAGUUGAAUCUUAUGAUGUUUCUCCGCCUCUACUCUCUUGUAAUGGAUUGAGUUUUCCCUUGAAGUUAUCUUAUUGGAUUGAGUCUUUGAGGAUUUGAGAACACUUGAUGUAUGUCUUGCCGUGCUUAUCUGUGGUGACAAUGGGAUAUUCACGUGAUCUACUUGAUGUAUGUUUUGGUGAUCAACUUGCGGCUUCAGUGAACUUAUGCAUAGGGGUUGGCACACGUUUUCGUCUUGACUCUCCGGUAGAAACUUUAAGUACUUUGUGUUGGUUGAAUAGAUGAAUCUGAGAUUGUGUGAUGCAUAUCGUAUAAUCAUACCCACGGAUACUU